UUCGUUCGAUCAGAGAAGCCUUCCAUUUCCAAUCGAUUUCGAACUAGCUGGUUGGGCUGGUUGGGGGGCAGCGAUGGAAGAUCAGAGUUCAUUGUUGGAGAUGCGUCGGGGGCCGUCGAUUUUCGUUUGGGAGGCGCCCUGCGAAUCCAACCGCCCUCAUCGGUUUUCCUCUCAGAUGUUGCGUUCGAGUGUUGCCUUUCCAGCUGCGCCUCAUCCUUCUCUCAUCGCACGGGUUUAGCUCAAAGGGAUUUCUAGGUUUCGCAAAAAAAAAGGGAGGAAGAUCGAAGAAAAAAGAACUGGAGUAAUCAAUAUAGGAACCCCCAGUCUGCUCAUCAAUCUGGAAUAAUACUAUUAUCUGUUACCUGGUUACAUGAUUGCUGCCGAGGGAGCCCAUCAUGGUCAAUAAUAGGUCUGUACUGACUUCGGUUUUUCUGCUCCUCAUGAGCUCUCUGUGACACAUAUCCUUGAUCAACCAUCCUCUAAGUAAAGAAGGAACAUGAGAAACUUCGCAUUUAUUAAGCAACACAAAAAUCAUUAUAUAUGUCAGACAAUGUGAGUGACAAAUAGGGUGCAUAACAACUUAGUUAGAGAAAAUGUUGACACAGAAACAGUUUGCU